rnacentral:lncRNA from 10 species
GAUGGAGAAAGGCAGAUAAAUACAGGAAGAACAGGUUGUAGAAGCUCCUUUCUAAUUGCUUCUGCACUAGGAAGCAAAGUUAGUUUUAACUGAGGAUGGGGAAGAGAUAUUAGAAGUUUAUAAAGAGGAAAAAGUAUGAAAUAGUUAUCUGGAAGAGGAAAAUGGUAAAUUAACUGUGGAAUUGAUUGAAGGACAGCUCCAAAGGUUCAUGAUUACAAAGAAGGAACCCCAGAAGAGAAGACCUACUACAUAGAAUUAUGGGAUGUUGGAGGCUCUGUGGGCAGUGCCAGCAGCGUGAAAAGCACAAGAGCAGUAUUCUACAACUCCGUAAAUGGUAUUAUUUUCGUACACGACUUAACAAAUAAGAAGUCCUCCCAAAACUUGCGUCGUUGGUCAUUGGAAGCUCUCAACAGGGAUUUGGUGCCAACUGGAGUCUUGGUGACAAAUGGGGAUUAUGAUCAAGAACAGUUUGCUGAUAACCAAAUACCACUGUUGGUAAUAGGGACUAAACUGGACCAGAUUCAUGAAACAAAGCGCCAUGAAGUUUUAACUAGGACUGCUUUCCUGGCUGAGGAUUUCAAUCCAGAAGAAAUUAAUUUGGACUGCACAAAUCCACGGUACUUAGCUGCAGGUUCUUCCAAUGCUGUCAAGCUCAGUAGGUUUUUUGAUAAG